rnacentral:rRNA from 1 species
UACGAAGGGGGCUAGCGUUGCUCGGAAUGACUGGGCGUAAAGGGCGCGUAGGCGGCUCAUACAGUCAGAUGUGAAAUUCCUGGGCUUAACCUGGGGGCUGCAUUUGAUACGUGUGGGCUUGAGUGGGGAAGAGGGUCGUGGAAUUCCCGGUGUAGAGGUGAAAUUCGUAGAUAUCGGGAGGAACACCGGUGGCGAAGGCGGCGACCUGGGUAGAUACUGACGCUGAGGCGCGAAAGCGUGGGGAGCAAACAGG